AGAGUUUGAUCCUGGCUCAGAAUGAACGCUGGCGGCAGGCCUAACACAUGCAAGUCGAACGGGUGCCUUCGGGUGCUAGUGGCGGACGGGUGAGUAACGCGUGGGAACAUACCCUUUGGUACGGAAUAGCCUCGGGAAACUGAGAGUAAUACCGUAUGUGCCCUUCGGGGGAAAGAUUUAUCGCCAAAGGAUUGGCCCGCGUUGGAUUAGGUAGUUGGUGGGGUAAUGGCCUACCAAGCCGACGAUCCAUAGCUGGUUUGAGAGGAUGAUCAGCCACACUGGGACUGAGACACGGCCCAGACUCCUACGGGAGGCAGCAGUGGGGAAUCUUAGACAAUGGGGGAAACCCUGAUCUAGCCAUGCCGCGUGAUCGAUGAAGGCCUUCGGGUUGUAAAGCUCUUUAAGCGGGGAGGAAGGUCAGCUACUUAAUACGUAGUUGAAUUGACGUUACCUGCAGAAUAAGCACCGGCUAACUCUGUGCCAGCAGCCGCGGUAAUACAGAGGGUGCGAGCGUUAAUCGGAAUUACUGGGCGUAAAGCGUGCGUAGGUGGUUUCUUAAGCUGGAUGUGAAAGCCCCGGGCUUAACCUGGGAACUGCGUUCAGGACUGGGAAACUCGAGUCUGGGAGAGGGUGGUGGAAUUUCCGGUGUAGCGGUGAAAUGCGUAGAUAUCGGAAGGAACAUCAGUGGCGAAGGCGACCGCCUGGCCUAAGACUGACACUGAGGCACGAAAGCGUGGGGAGCAAACAGGAUUAGAUACCCUGGUAGUCC
rnacentral:rRNA from 1 species